rnacentral:rRNA from 1 species
AUUGAACGCUGGCGGCAUGCCGUACACAUGCAAGUCGAACGGCAGCACGGGUGCUUGCACCUGGUGGCGAGUGGCGAACGGGUGAGUAAUACAUCGGAACAUGUCCUGUAGUGGGGGAUAGCCCGGCGAAAGCCGGAUUAAUACCGCAUACGAUCUACGGAUGAAAGCGGGGGACCUUCGGGCCUCGCGCUAUAGGGUUGGCCGAUGGCUGAUUAGCUAGUUGGUGGGGUAAAGGCCUACCAAGGCGACGAUCAGUAGCUGGUCUGAGAGGACGACCAGCCACACUGGGACUGAGACACGGCCCAGACUCCUACGGGAGGCAGCAGUGGGGAAUGUCGGACAAUGGGCGAAAGCCUGAUCCAGCAAUGCCGCGUGUGUGAAGAAGGCCUUCGGGUUGUAAAGCACUUUUGUCCGGAAAGAAAUCCUUGGCCCUAAUACGGUCGGGGGAUGACGGUACCGGAAGAAUAAGCACCGGCUAACUACGUG